AUCCCUAUCAUUGAACCCCAAACCCCACUCUUCUUUUUAAUUAUCCCUCACCAACAAUCCCCCCCUUUCUCUCUGUCUCUCUCUCUCUGGCGGGAAAAGAAAGCAAAAGGAGGGGAGGAGAGAGAUUUUCUAUCAAAUUCUCAGAUCUCUCUCUGUACGAGUUCAGGACCUUUAAUCGCUUUAUCAAAUAACCAAAAUGGGACGGAAAUCGUUGAUCUACUCAUUCGUUUCCUGUGGAAAUGUGAUUCUUGCUGAGUACACAGAAUUCAGUGGCAAUUUCAAUUCCAUAGCGUUUCAGUGCCUCCAGAGGCUCCCUGCCACCAACAAUAAGUUCACUUACAGCUGCGAUGCCCACAACUUCAAUUACCUCGUGGACAAUGGCUCAUUUAUCUCUUUCUCUGGUCAUCUCUCGUUCUCGGUCCCUUAGCCAUGGGACGUGGUAGAAAGCGGCAGCUACCGGAGUUAACCCUCGAUAUCGACGGAACUGCCAGAAAGCGAGGCACUGCCAGAAACCGACGGCAAUUCCACGGAGUGUUGUGGAUCCAAGGCGGAACAUGGAGGCGGCGAUGUUUUGCCACAGGGAAACAAGCAAUUUACGGAAAAUAAGAACACUACAGUGUAAUCAAGAACACUACCGUUGGACCUGUUGAACAGUUGGAAACAAGCUCGCCGCUCUUGGUUAGUUACCUUGGUGCUUUUAUUAUUUGGAAUUCUGAGAUUAAGGUGUUUGGUGAUUUUAUUAUUUGUAAUGCUGAGAUUGAGGUGUUUGGUGCUUUUACUAUAAAUUUUAAAUAAGACUACGAAAUUGUGAUUUGGAGACUUUAGAUCUCUUUACAAUGAGUUUACUGUAAAUUUUUUUUA